rnacentral:rRNA from 1 species
GACGGAAGGUGCAAGCGUUGCUCGGAAUCACUGGGCGUAAAGGGUGCGUAGGCGGCUUGGUAAGUUGGGUGUGAAAGCCCCGGGCUCAGCCCGGGAAGGGCACUCGAAACUGCCGAGCUGGAGUGCCGGAGGGGAGAGUGGAAUUCCUGGUGUAGCGGUGAAAUGCGUAGAUAUCAGGAGGAAUACCGGUGGCGAAAGCGGCUCUCUGGGACGGUACUGACGCUGAGACGCGAAAGCGUGGGGAGCGAACAGG